GACGAACGCUGGCGGCGUGCUUAACACAUGCAAGUCGAACGGAAAGGCCCCUUUGGGGGUACUCGAGUGGCGAACGGGUGAGUAACACGUGAGUAACCUGCCCUUGACUUCGGGAUAACUUCAGGAAACUGGGGCUAAUACCGGAUAGGAAUCCUUGCUGCAUGGUGGGGGUUGGAAAGCUUCGGCGGUUUUGGAUGGACUCGCGGCUUAUCAGCUUGUUGGUGGGGUAGUGGCUUACCAAGGCUUUGACGGGUAGCCGGCCUGAGAGGGCGACCGGCCACAUUGGGACUGAGAUACGGCCCAGACUCCUACGGGAGGCAGAAGUGGGGAAUAUUGAACAAUGGGCGGAAGCCUGAUGCAGAAACGCCGCGGGCGGGAUGACGGCCUUCGGGUUGUAAACCGCUUUCAGCAGGGGCGAAGCUUGUGGUGACGGUACCUGCAGAAGAAGCACCGGCUAACUACGUG
rnacentral:rRNA from 1 species